rnacentral:rRNA from 1 species
GACGAACGCUGGCGGCGUGCUUAACACAUGCAAGUCGAACGGUAAGGCCCUUCGGGGUACACGAGUGGCGAACGGGUGAGUAACACGUGGGUGAUCUGCCCUGCACUUCGGGAUAAGCCUGGGAAACUGGGUCUAAUACCGGAUAGGACCACUGCCUGCAGGGGUGGUGGGGGAAAGCUUUUGCGGUGUGGGAUGGGCCCGCGGCCUAUCAGCUUGUUGGUGGGGUGAAGGCCUACCAAGGCGACGACGGGUAGCCGGCCUGCGAGGGUGACCGGCCACACUGGGACUGAGAUACGGCCCAGACUCCUACGGGAGGCAGCAGUGGGGAAUAUUGCACAAUGGGCGCAAGCCUGAUGCAGCGACGCCGCGUGAGGGAUGACGGCCUUCGGGUUGUAAACCUCUUUCAGCACCGACGAAGCGCAAGUGACGGUAGGUGCAGAAGAAGGACCGGCCAACUACGUGCCAGCAGCCGCCGUAC